rnacentral:rRNA from 1 species
AUGCAGCGACGCCGCGUGAGGGAUGACGGCCUUCGGGUUGUAAACCUCUUUCAGCACGGAAGAAGCGAAAGUGACGGUACGUGCAGAAGAAGCGCCGGCUAACUACGUGCCAGCAGCCGCGGUAAUACGUAGGGCGCAAGCGUUGUCCGGAAUUAUUGGGCGUAAAGAGCUCGUAGGCGGUUUGUCGCGUCUGCUGUGAAAGCCAGGGGCUUAACCCCGGGUGUGCAGUGGGUACGGGCAGACUUGAGUGCAGUAGGGGAGACUGGAACUCCUGGUGUAGCGGUGAAAUGCGCAGAUAUCAGGAAGAACACCGAUGGCGAAGGCAGGUCUCUGGGCUGUUACUGACGCUGAGGAGCGAAAGCAUGGGGAGCGAACAGGAUUAGAUACCCUGGUAGUCCAUGCCGUAAACGUUGGGCACUAGGUG